rnacentral:rRNA from 1 species
AGAGUUUGAUCAUGGCUCAGGAUGAACGCUAGCGACAGGCCUAACACAUGCAAGUCGAGGGGUAACAGGGAAGCUUGCUUCCGCUGACGACCGGCGCACGGGUGCGUAACGCGUAUGAAACCUACCUUAUACUGGGGGAUAGCCCGAAGAAAUUCGGAUUAAUACCCCAUAACAUGGUUUAUUGGCAUCAAUAGAUUAUUAAAACUCCGGUGGUAUAAGAUGGUCAUGCGUGACAUUAGCUAGUUGGUGAGGUAACGGCUCACCAAGGCGACGAUGUCUAGGGGUUCUGAGAGGAAGGUCCCCCACACUGGUACUGAGACACGGACCAGACUCCUACGGGAGGCAGCAGUGAGGAAUAUUGGUCAAUGGGCGCAAGCCUGAACCAGCCAUGGUCGCGUGAAGGAAGAAGGUUCUAUGGAUUGUAAACUUCUUUUAUACGGGAAGAAUGGUCACUACGUGUAGUGAUUCGACGGUACCGUAUGAAUAAGCACCGGCUAACUCCGUGCCAGCAGCCGCGGUAAUACGGAGGGUGCAAGCGUUAUCCGGAUUUAUUGGGUUUAAAGGGUGCGUAGGCGGAAUAAUAAGUCAGAAGUGAAAGUUUGCGGCUCAACCGUAAAAUUGCCUUUGAAACUAUUAUUCUUGAGUACAAUUGAGGUAGGCGGAAUGUAGUGUGUAGCGGUGAAAUGCUUAGAUAUACUACAGAACACCGAUUGCGAAGGCAGCUUACUAAACUGUAACUGACGCUGAUGCACGAAAGCGUGGGGAUCGAACAGGAUUAGAUACCCUGGUAGUCCACGCCGUAAACGAUGAUUACUAGCUGUUUGUGAUAGACAAUAAGCGGCAAGCGAAAGCAUUAAGUAAUCCACCUGGGGAGUACGUUGGCAACAAUGAAACUCAAAGGAAUUGACGGGGGCCCGCACAAGCGGAGGAACAUGUGGUUUAAUUCGAUGAUACGCGAGGAACCUUACCUGGACUUAAAUGUAUAGUGACAGCUUUAGAGAUAGAGUUUUCUUCGGACACUUUACAAGGCGCUGCAUGGUUGUCGUCAGCUCGUGCCGUGAGGUGUCGGGUUAAGUCCCAUAACGAGCGCAACCCACGUCUUUAGUUACCAGCACAUAAUGGUGGGCACUCUAGAGAGACUGCCGGUGUAAACCGCGAGGAAGGUGUGGAUGACGUCAAAUCAGCACGGCCCUUACGUCCAGGGCUACACACGUGUUACAAUGGUCGGUACAGAGGGCAGCUACUAUGUGAAUAGAUGCGAAUCUCCAAAACCGGUCUCAGUUCGGAUCGAAGUCUGCAACCCGACUUCGUGAAGCUGGAUUCGCUAGUAAUCGCGCAUCAGCCAUGGCGCGGUGAAUACGUUCCCGGGCCUUGUACACACCGCCCGUCAAACCAUGGAAGCCGGGGGUACCUGAAGUCUGUGACCGCAAGGAGCGGCCUAGGGUAAAUCUGGUAACUAGGGUUAAGUCGUAACAAGGUAACC